AGCUGCGUCUUGAACACAUAGCGAACUAUUCUUUCGCCUUUUACUAAAGAAUACCGUGUGUUCGUGACAUUAAGCAGCAUAUCCAAUUUUUUGAAGGGAUUCUUCUCUUAAGAAGAGC